UACGUAGGGGGCGAGCGUUGUCCGGAUUUAUUGGGCGUAAAGCGCUCGCAGGCGUCCGAUGCGUCGUGCGUGAAAGCCCCCGGCUCAACUGGGGAGGGUCACGCGAUACUGAUCGACUCGAAGGCAGGAGAGGGUAGUGGAAUUCCUGGUGUAGCGGUGGAAUGCGCAGAUAUCAGGAGGAACACCAAUGGCGAAGGCAGUUCUCUGGUACGUGAUUGACGCUGAGACGCGAAAGCGUGGGGAGCAAACAGG
rnacentral:rRNA from 1 species